rnacentral:rRNA from 1 species
GACCCCAGGUCAGGCGGGAACACCCGCUGAG